CAAGAAGAAUGGAAUAAAUUUAAUGAUUAUUUAGUUAAAUUUAUUAAGGUGGCAUCCAAUGAGAAGAGAGAUGACUUGUUCUAAUUCGGCUGCUGGGAGAGAGAAAAGUCCCCAUUGGUCAACCUGGGACGGGCAGAGCAAGGGAUGGGCUUUGCAUGCGGGACAGUUAGACAAAUGAGGGAAAGGAAAGCAGACACUGCUGGAAUCCACUGGCUGAAACAUGAUGAUAUGUCCUCCAUUGUGACAACUCCUACUGCUGGUUUUGCCGCCAGGAAAAUGUGGUAAGAGCAACUUUCAGGUUUCAAAUCUCUUUUUUUGACCUGUUGUCGCAACCCUAAAGUCCAUCCCCUCAUCUACCGGGAGGAAGAGGCACAGAUCCGGGUGCCUCCAGAACAAAGGGACGGGUGGUAUCUGCUCUGUUUCAUCACGUGACAAAUGACAUGACCGAUGAAAAAUUGUUGCGGUGACAGAGAAUCGGGGUCUUUGGGAAAGAAGCAGGCAGGUCGCUGAUUCAAGAAGACUUGAGUAACGUCCCUUUUGAAGAAGAAAAAUCAUCUUGUCUCUUCUCUCUGAUUCAUUUAGCCGCUUGAUUCUGCCAUUAAUUUCUCAGUCAAGAAGCCUAACCAGCAAAGGCAUCGUGUAUCUCGAAGGAUGAUGAAAGGUGUCAUUACUGCCUUCCUUGAUGCUACUGAAGUGAAAAUGUAGCGCCGAGUCAGUUUGGUGCUGUAGUUAGAGCAGGGCCCACCAAUUUAGUGUACAUGUAUUUGCAGAGACUUUCCACUGAAAUUAGGCUUGAAACAAGUGUUUCUGGGUAGCAAAUAGAAUAGGUUGUGCUGUGUGGACAUCCUUGCUUUGUGAUGUAGUGCCCGCAUCUAUAAAAAGAAAACUUAUUUUAACCACUAGUUUGUGACAUUUUGGUUGAUCCUAAUAAAGUUAUU